rnacentral:rRNA from 1 species
GGACUACUGGGGUAUCUAAUCCUGUUUGCUCCCCACGCUUUCGCUCCUCAGCGUCAGGCAAGGCCCAGAGAACCGCCUUCGCCACCGGUGUUCCUCCCGAUAUCUGCGCAUUUCACCGCUACACCGGGAAUUCCAUUCUCCCCUACCUGCCUCUAGCCUGCCCGUAUCCACUGCAAGCCCGGGGUUAAGCCCCAGGUUUUCACAGCGGACGUAGCACGCCGCCUACGAGCUCUUUACGCCCAAUAAUUCCGGACAACGCUUGCGCCCUACGUGUUACCGCGGCGGCUGGCAC